rnacentral:rRNA from 1 species
UACAGAGGCCUCGAGCGUUAGGCGGAAUCACUGGGCUUAAAGCGUGUGUAGGUGGAUGCCUAAGUACCUUGUGAAAUCCCACGGCUUAACCGUGGAACUGCUGGGUAUACUGGGUGUCUUGAGCAACUCAGGGGCUACCGGAACAAACGGUGGAGCGGUGAAAUGCGUAGAUAUCGUUUGGAACGCCAAUGGUGAAAACAGGUAGCUGGGGGUGUGCUGACACUGAGACACGAAAGCCAGGGGAGCAAACGGG